rnacentral:rRNA from 1 species
AGCAGCCGCGGUAAUUCCAGCUCCAAUAGCGUAUAUUAAAGUUGCUGCAGUUAAAAAGCUCGUAGUUGAAUUUCGGGACCAAUAUGUCGGUCGUGCUUCGGUACGUACUGGCAUCGUUGGUUUCUCCCUUCUGACGAACCAUGAUGUCAUUUAUUUGGUGUCGUGGGGAAUCAGGACUGUUACUUUGAAAAAAUUAGAGUGUUUAAAGCAGGCUCACGCUUGAAUACAUUAGCAUGGAAUAAUGAAAUAGGACGUUUGAUUCUAUUUUGUUGGUUUCUAGGAUCGACGUAAUGAUUAAUAGGGAUAGUUGGGGGCAUUAGUAUUCAAUUGUCAGAGGUGAAAUUCUUGGAUUUAUUGAAGACUAACUACUGCGAAAGCAUUUGCCAAGGAUGUUUUCAUUAAUCAAGAACGAAAGUUAGGGGAUCGAAGACGAUCAGAUACCGUCGUAGUCUUAACCAUAAACUAUGCCGACUAGGGAUCGGAUGAUGUUAAUUUUUUAAUGACUCAUUCGGCGCCUUACG